CACACACACACACACACACACACACACAUAUAUAUAUAUAUAUAUAUCGCAUGUAUAUACUUUCCCUAUCGCAAGUCUAGUUGUAGUCGUAUAAACAGUUAUUUAUUUUGCUGUCAAAUAUACUUAUAUUAGGUGUUCCGGUUAGUUUUGAGGGUUCACUAUAGAUGGCUAUAGCUACAAAUCUACUGGAAACAUUUUAAAAAUGGGUACAUCUUGUCAAAGCUAGGACAUCUCUACAAACAAAUUGACACAUGUCCUGUGUAUUCGUAAACAUAAACACACUGUUUAGUGCGACUAAAUAUAGAACGUGAUAAAGAGCAUUUUCGGCAUCUAUUACUUUACUGCUUUGAUUCGAGAAAAACAGCUCCCGAAGCUAACCGAUUCAUCUCAGAAACUUAUUCUAAGUCUGCUCCAUCAGUUAAAACGUUGGGAAUUUGAAUAGGAAGUCUUAUCGCACGCCGCAUAUUCACCAGACUGUGCUACUUCAGAUUAUUACUUAUUUCGAUGCAGCACGGUCUUACUUAUCACUUCAAAACAUAUGAUGCAAUAAAGAAAUAGCUCGAUGAAUGGGUUGCUUCGAAAGAUGAAUAUUUUUAUUUUACCGCGGAAUCCACUUAUUGCCAGAAAAGUGAGAAAAAGUUGAAAAAGCUAACGGUGAAAAAAAUUUUUGAUUAAAAUAAUUUAAUGUCUCUAAAAUAUACGUGUUUCUUUUUUGCACAAAAUCCCUCAAAACUAACCGGAACACCUAAUAUAUAGAUCACAGAAUCUGUUUAAACAAUUAAAUGUUUAGUUAUAGUGCUACACAAAGAUAAUUUUGCUGUUCACUAAACGUUAACAGUUAACAGUUAACAGUUAAACGUUAACAGUUUACUAAAUGCUCACUAACGCUAAACAUUUAAACGUGUAUUCGCAAAACGGAUCAAAAUGGAAGCCCUGAUACAAACUUAUAUCCUUUAGCGAUUUCCAGAAUAUCCAGUACAUUCGAUCGUCGUAGAACAUAAUAUCACAUUCGAUAUAUUACAAAGAGUUAACAUUAUAAUGUUAUCGAAUAGAUUGGUUGAUACGGACGCCAAAUGAAUCGGUUGUCAGAGAAACAGAUAUGGGUAAGCAGCAAAGACGAAUAUUCGAUUAUUUUGUAGUGUAAAUCAAUUGUAGUGUAAAUGUUUUUGUAAAUCAAUAAUAUUGUCUCUCGUGUCUAAAAUAUAUUAGCUUAAUUUGUGAUCGACGAAAAGAUACAUAACACGUGUCUCAUCGAUACAAAAGAGGCACAGCAAGGGUUCGAGAUGAAGAAUGUUUGUAAUUUGAACCAACUCCGUUGCACCAUGAAACAUGAGUUUGAUUAAAUUCCAGGUGCUGAAAUGUAAGAAUGCAUCUUCUCAUAUCAGAUAACAGUUUCACGAGCAAUUUUGCUCUUUUUUUAUUGUUGCUGUGAUUACAAUAAUGACAAAUAUUUCUUGAGUAAAUAAAAAUUUCCGUGAAAGCACGUUAACCUACAAUAUUAUGUGUUAUGCCAGAGUAAAUCUCUGUUUGGAAUUUUGUUUAUCUGUUUUAUAUAUCUAUUGUAUAAACAUUGUAUAAAUAUAUUUUUAUGUAUAAAUCACAUUAUAUGAAAUUAUAUGGUAAACUGCGGCGAUUGUAGUUGA